CCUACGGGAGGCAGCAGUGGGGAAUAUUGGGCAAUGGGCGCAAGCCUGACCCAGCAACGCCGCGUGAAGGAAGAAGGCUUUCGGGUUGGAAACUUCUUUUCUCAGGGACGAAGAAAGUGACGGUACCUGAGGACUAAGCCACGGCUAACUACGUGCCAGCAGCCGCGGUAAUACGUAGGUGGCAAGCAUUAUACGGAUUUACUGGGUGUAAAGAGUGUGUAGGCGGGACUGCAAGUCAGAUGGUAAAACAACGGGCUCAACCUGUGGCGUGCAUUUGAAACUGUAGUUCUUGAGUACUGGAGAGGCAGACGGAAUUCGUAGUGUAGCGGUGAAAUGCGUAGAUAUU
rnacentral:rRNA from 1 species